GAUUUAUUUUCUUCCACGUCAUUUUUUUAUUUACUCUCUCUAACUUUAGGAAUCAUGAUCGUUUCGUUGUAAAAAAAAACAGGGGUUGCAAAACGCGAGAUCCGAUUGGCCGAAAUUUUAGACAAAAUUUUUUUUUCUUUUUCUUUUUUCUUUCUCUGGUGCUCGAGAGACGGUGAUGACGAAAACGAAGACAUGCUCUAUGCUUCUGCUGAAAAUUAGGGUCCUUUGUUGUUUGGAUUUUAAUCGGAAGAAUGGGUUUGACGGUGGUUGGAGUAGGCGCCGUGGUGUUGCUAUUGAAGGGUGACGUCAAGCAAACUGCCACCGUCGUAAGGUGUAACGUCAAGCACAUCCGUCACUAGCUCGAAGAAGAAUCCUCUGCCGCCUCCAAGGCAGCUGAGGCCAUAAAACAGAAGGAAAUAGAGACAACGGUUCCGAAGAAGGACAUUCCAAAAGAGAAGGAUUAAGUGUGCCACUAUAUAUUGUGGUUCUUUGGAUUGAAGUGAGAGUUCCAGGUAUGUUGCAGGACAACAGUUGGCUCUUGUUUUAAACUCCCUGCUGGUGCAGAGGACAACAAUUGGCUCUUGCGUUCAUUCUGUGUGCUCGCUUCUGGUGCAGAGGUAAAAAGAGCUUUGUCAUACUCUCUUUUUUUUUAAAUGACAGAGAGAGAAAGAAACUUUAGUGGAUUUUAUGGCUUGUAUGUUUCAGUUAACAAUGGGUUGUAGGUUUCUGUUAUGUAUCUUUGCGUGUAUUUCAGGCAGAAAGUGUUGUUUCUGCGAUUUAUUGUAGUGGUAUUGUCUUGGUAGGGCUUCCAAUAACGUGAGCUUACAAGAAACAAAACAAGGUUAGUUAAUAAUACUAACUUAUCACUGUGAGAUUAAUAUUUGCUUUGUCUAUGUGUGUGAAAGGGUAAGCCCGUCAAAGACGCCAGUAAGGCCACACCGCUCUGAUGUAAACUAAAGCUUAUCACUAUUUGUAUAGUGUUUGUUACUGUAGUAUCUGGAGUAGGACCUUCACAUUGACAGGAAUGACUUCUAUGGUGGAGAGUCUACUUCACUUUUCGACAAUCAGGUUCUACUCUAUGAUUUUUUUUGAAGAUAUAUGGUCGUUUAAGGGGUUUCCUUAUUAGUUUAAGAUAAAUUGUUUGGAACUUGAAAGUGAAUAGUAGAGUAGUGAUAAAAAUAACUUUAGGAGAAAAGGAAAAAUAACUUUCUAUCCAUCUGGUUUACAAGCUACGGUCUUCUCUCCACAUAUAACUUUGAUAUUUUAGCAGCAAUAAUGGUAGGGAGAGAGGUACACAUAAGAAGACAAAUCGUUUCUGUUUGAUUUACUUAAAUACCCACACAAGUCGAGAAGCUUUUUUCUUUCUUUCUUUGUGUUCGAGAAGCAGAGAGGGUUCCAGAAGCUAUAAAGGUUGUUCCUUUUUUUUUUUUCUCUGAUUAAGUGAGAUUUUAAUGUUAAAAGGGUUUCUAGAUUCGUUGAAUUUUAAAGGGGUUUAUGGUUUUAAGGGCUUCUUAGAAGCUUUUAGCUUCAUUUUGAGAAACAGUGGUGAGGUUUUGGGGUUUUUGUUUCAAGUUCGAAGCUUUCUUUUUUUAAGGGAAUUUUGGGUUUUGAAUCUUAUCCAGUUUUGAUCGAAAUCAGUGAGAGUUCUUUGAGUCCUUAAUUGUAGUUUCUGUGUACUAAAGUUAUUGACAUGAAAAGCUUUUAUCUUUUGGUUCUUGAACUUAUAGUUGAUGUAAAGACUCUCUUGCUCUGCUUUUUUUGAGUGUGAUUUGUAUAGCU